rnacentral:lncRNA from 1 species
GAGACACGAACCUCCGCUCCAGCCCCGCGGGUGCGCUUAGAGACCCACGAGAGUUAGAGACCCGCAACCACGAGGUGCUCACGAACACCAGUUACACUUGACCUCUAGGCACGCACACAGACACACAAGGGAAUCUCGGAGGGCUGCCGGGACGAAGAGGCUACAUCUACACAGGGCGGUGUAGGGGAAGCCCGUCUCUUCGACCUCCGUGCCUGGGAGUAGGGGCCGAGAGCCAGAUUAUUGCGAUGACCGGAAUCCCGGCGAGGACGGCCGCGCUCCGGUUCCUUGGUCAAAUUUGUGAAUUUCGCUAACACGAAAAGUUAAACAAGACACAGAGGAGAAACUGCACUUAAGGGUUUCUAACGAAUUACCUUUACUAGCAAGAAUAAAACUGCAAGAAAAUUAAACGUAAAAAUGUCAGUCCUAAAUCAUGCACGAGUUUCAGAAUAUUUGAAUAUUUCCUUUUGGGGCCCACCGCUGCCAAGGUGGCCGCAGUUUCGGGUUUCGCCGGACAGGGCUCACUAAAACGUGCCUACGCCCCAGGGAUGGACGACUUGGAGACAGGGGCCGGGAAGCCUUUGUCUCAGGUCACCCUGCGCCAGGUUUGUCGCCUAAGUUUAUGGGAUGGACGGGAGACAACAUUUGUAAGUUUAGAGUUUUGGGAACGUUGUUUCGUUUAAUC